rnacentral:rRNA from 1 species
GACGAACCGUGCGAACGUUGUUCGGAAUCACUGGGCUUAAAGGGCGCGUAGGCGGGCCCGCAAGUCAGGGGUGAAAUCCCACGGCUCAACCGUGGAAGUGCCUUUGAUACUGCGGAUCUCGAGGGAGGUAGGGGCGUGCGGAACUUCCGGUGGAGCAGUGAAAUGCGUAGAGAUCGGGAGGAACAUCAGUUGCGAAGGCGGCUCUCUGGACCAGCACUGACACUGAGGCACGAAAGCGUGGGGAGCAAACAGG